GACGAACCGUGCGAACGUUGUUCGGAAUCACUGGGCUUAAAGGGCGCGUAGGCGGGUGUGCAAGUCUGUGGUGAAAGCCUCCAGCUUAACUGGAGAAGUGCCAUGGAUACUGCACAUCUUGAGGAGGGUAGGGGCAUCUGGAACGGUCGGUGGAGCGGUGAAAUGCGUUGAUAUCGACCGGAACUCCGGUGGCGAAGGCGGCUCUCUGGGACGGUACUGACGCUGAGACGCGAAAGCGUGGGGAGCGAACAGG
rnacentral:rRNA from 1 species